rnacentral:rRNA from 1 species
AACGUAGGAGACAAACGUUAUCCGGAGUUACUGGGCGUAAAGGGCGUGCAGGCGGUCGACUAAGUCUGGCGUGAAAGCUCUCGGCUAAACCGGGAGAGGUCGUUGGAUACUGGUUGACUAGAGGACGGUAGAGGCGUGUGGAAUUCCGGGUGUAGUGGUGAAAUGCGCAGAUAUCAGGAGGAACACCAAUUGCGAAGGCAGCUCGCUGGGACGUUACUGACGCUGAGACGCGAAAGCGUGGGGAGCAAACAGG